rnacentral:rRNA from 1 species
AUUGAACGCUGGCGGCAGGCCUAACACAUGCAAGUCGAACGAGGGGCGGACGGGUGAGUAAUGUCUGUAAAACUGCCCGGUGGAUGGGGAUACCUACUGGAAACGGUACCUAAUACCGCAUACCAGCGGCUGUGCCGAGAUGGGAUUAGCUAGGAGUUGGGGUAACGGUGCACCAAGGCGACGAUCCCGAGCUGGUCUGAGAGGAUGACCAGCCCCACUGGAACUGAGACACGGUCCAGACUCCUACGGGAGGCAGCAGUGGGGAAUAUUGCACAAUUGGCGCAAGCCUGAUGCAGCCAUGCCGCGUGUAUGAAGAAGGCCUUCGGGUUGUAAAGUACUUUAAGAGCGGAGGCGUUACUCGCAGAAGAAGCACCGGCUAACUCCGUGCCAGCAGCCGCGGUAAUAC